UCGGGAAUAUUGCACAAUGGAGGAAACUCUGAUGCAGUGACGCCGCGUGCAGGAAGAAGGUUUUCGGAUUGUAAACUGCUUUAGACAGGGAAGAAAAAAGACAGUACCUGUAGAAUAAGCUCCGGCUAACUACGUGCCAGCAGCCGCGGUAAUACGUAGGGAGCAAGCGUUAUCCGGAUUUAUUGGGUGUAAAGGGUGCGUAGACGGGUAAGCAAGUUAGUUGUGAAAAUCCCUCGGCUUAACUGAGGAACUGCAACUAAAACUACUAAAUCUUGAGUGCGGGAGAGGAAAGUGGAAUUCCUAGUGUAGCGGUGAAAUGCGUAGAUAUUAGGAGGAACACCAGUGGCGAAGGCGACUUUCUGGACCGUAACUGACGUUGAGGCACGAAAGUGUGGGGAGCAAACAGGAUUAGAUACC
rnacentral:rRNA from 1 species